GAUGAACGCUGGCGGCGUGCUUAACACAUGCAAGUCGAGCGAAGCACUUAAGUGGAUCUCUUCGGAUUGAAACUUAUUUGACUGAGCGGCGGACGGGUGAGUAACGCGUGGGUAACCUGCCUCAUACAGGGGGAUAACAGUUAGAAAUGGCUGCUAAUACCGCAUAAGCGCACAGGACCGCAUGGUCUGGUGUGAAAAACUCCGGUGGUAUGAGAUGGACCCGCGUCUGAUUAGCUAGUUGGAGGGGUAACGGCCCACCAAGGCGACGAUCAGUAGCCGGCCUGAGAGGGUGAACGGCCACAUUGGGACUGAGACACGGCCCAGACUCCUACGGGAGGCAGCAGUGGGGAAUAUUGCACAAUGGGGGAAACCCUGAUGCAGCGACGCCGCGUGAAGGAAGAAGUAUCUCGGUAUGUAAACUUCUAUCAGCAGGGAAGAAAAUGACGGUACCUGACUAAGAAGCUCCGGCUAACUACGUGCCAGCAGCCGCGGUAAUACGUAGGGGGCAAGCGUUAUCCGGAUUUACUGGGUGUAAAGGGAGCGUAGACGGAAGAGCAAGUCUGAUGUGAAAGGCUGGGGCUUAACCCCAGGACUGCAUUGGAAACUGUUUUUCUAGAGUGCCGGAGAGGUAAGCGGAAUUCCUAGUGCAGCGGUGAAAUGCGUAGAUAUUAGGAGGAACACCAGUGGCGAAGG
rnacentral:rRNA from 1 species